AUUGAACGCUGGCGGCAUGCCUUACACAUGCAAGUCGAACGGCAGCGCGGACUUCGGUCUGGCGGCGAGUGGCGAACGGGUGAGUAAUACAUCGGAACGUACCCUGUUGAGGGGGAUAACUAGUCGAAAGAUUAGCUAAUACCGCAUACGACCUGAGGGUGAAAGCGGGGGACCGCAAGGCCUCACGCAGCAGGAGCGGCCGAUGUCUGAUUAGCUAGUUGGUGGGGUAAAGGCCCACCAAGGCGACGAUCAGUAGCUGGUCUGAGAGGACGAUCAGCCACACUGGGACUGAGACACGGCCCAGACUCCUACGGGAGGCAGCAGUGGGGAAUUUUGGACAAUGGGGGCAACCCUGAUCCAGCAAUGCCGCGUGUGUGAAGAAGGCCUUCGGGUUGUAAAGCACUUUUGUCCGGAAAGAAAUCGCGCUGGUAAAUACCUGGCGUGGAUGACGGUACCGGAAGAAUAAGCACCGGCUAACUACGUGCCAGCAGCCGCCGUAA
rnacentral:rRNA from 1 species